AUUGAACGCUGGCGGCGUGCCUUACACAUGCAAGUCGAACGGUAACAGGUCUUCGGAUGCUGACGAGUGGCGAACGGGUGAGUAAUACAUCGGAACGUGCCUAGUAGUGGGGGAUAACUACUCGAAAGAGUAGCUAAUACCGCAUACGACCUGAGGGUGAAAGCGGGGGAUCGCAAGACCUCGCGCGAUUGGAGCGGCCGAUGUCAGAUUAGCUAGUUGGUGGGGUAAAGGCCUACCAAGGCUACGAUCUGUAGUUGGUCUGAGAGGACGACCAGCCACACUGGGACUCAGACACGGCCCAGACGCCUGCGGGAGGCAGCAGUGGGGAAUUUUGGACAAUGGGCGCAAGCCUGAUCCAGCAAUGCCGCGUGCAGGAAGAAGGCCUUCGGGUUGUAAACUGCUUUUGUCAGGGAAGAAAUCCUCUGGGUUAAUACCUCGGGGGGAUGACGGUACCUGAAGAAUAAGCACCGGCUAACUACGUGCCAGCAGCCGCCGUAA
rnacentral:rRNA from 1 species